rnacentral:rRNA from 1 species
UACGAAGGGGGCUAGCGUUGCUCGGAAUCACUGGGCGUAAAGCGCACGUAGGCGGAUCUUUAAGUCAGGGGUGAAAUCCCAAGGCUCAACCUUGGAACUGCCUUUGAUACUGGGGAUCUCGAGUCCGGAAGAGGUGAGUGGAACUGCGAGUGUAGAGGUGAAAUUCGUAGAUAUUCGGAAGAACACCAGUGGCGAAGGCGACUUACUGGACACAUAUUGACGCUGAGGUGCGAAAGCGUGGGGAGCAAACAGG